CGGAGACGCUACGGACUUAAAAAAUCCGUGGAUUUUAAAAAUCGUGAGGGUUCAAGUCCCUCUAUCCCCAC
rnacentral:tRNA from 1 species